rnacentral:piRNA from 1 species
UUCUAGGUGUGAUUGAUGAUCUGCAUUCC